rnacentral:tRNA from 1 species
GUGUUGGUGGUUCAUUGGUAGAAUUCUUGCUUCUCGUGUGGGAGAUCUGGUUCGAUUCCUGGCCAACACA